rnacentral:tRNA from 1 species
GGUCGCAUGGCUCAGUUGGUAGAGCACAUCGUUCAGAUCGAUGGGGUCACAGGUUCGAGUCCUGUUGCGACCACCA